rnacentral:misc_RNA from 1 species
GAUGAAGAACGUAGCGAAAUGCGAUACUUGGUGUGAAUUGCAGAAUCCCGUGAACCAUCGAGUCUUUGAACGCAAGUUGCGCCCGAAGCCAUUAGGCCGAGGGCACGCCUGCCUGGGCGUCACACGUCGUUGCCCCCCCAUCUACUCCUUCGGGAUUGCGGGGGGCGGAUGAUGGCCUCCCGUGCGCCUCGCCGCGCGGUUGGCAUAAAUGCCAAGUCCUCGGCGACGCACGCCACGACAAUCGGUGGUUGCGAAACCUCGGUUGCCCGUCGUGUGCGGUCGUCGCGCAUCGAGGGCUCGAAAAAAUUGCCGGGUUCCGGCUCGGCUUUCAACGCGACCCCAAGUCAGGCGGGGUUACCCGCUGAAUUUAAGCAUAUCAAUAAGCGGAGGA